CGGUACCCGUCUCUCGCAACGAAUAAGUCAAUAAUCCCGUAUAUGCCACAUAUUAUUUAGGAAUAUGUAUUCUAUUAAUAUGUAAUAUGUAAGUAUAUGUAUUAUAUCGCCCAAAUAACCUGAACAAGGUCACUCGCGAGUAAUAGUUUAUUUUUUCCUCAUGCAGGAAUCUGAUUAGAUUAAAUAUACGAGAAUCUCUGAAGCAUGCUAUCUCCGCAUUUUCAGUCACUGAGGAAUUUCAACAGAGUCGACGUAUUUUUACAUGGGAAUCUGAAACGAAAGGUGAUUAUGUCGUCUUGCGAAAAAUACUGUUACACUGAACAAGUAACAAACGCAGUACCACAAAAUAACUCAAACAAUGGUAGAAAAGAAGAUACGGAUACAAGAGAAAUGCAAUUGAACGAGAAUGAAAGACAAAUUGUGCUCCUUCACCAAAUGGCAUGCGAGGCUGAGGAGCAAAUGUACAUAGAUCCGGCCACAGGAUACAAAGUGUUCACAAGGUUCGCUCACCUUCAGAGGGGAAAGUGCUGUGGAAGUGCAUGCAGACACGUAAGGAUCGUGUCCUUACGGCCAAGUGAACGUGAAAGACCCAGCUAAGAAGAAGAAAUUCAAUUCGGAGUUUUAUGUGUAGAAGUUAGUGCAAUGUACACCUCAUUGCAUACUGUCCAGUCACUGAAAUUAACUUCUUUUACUGUCACACGCAGGGUGCCGUGUGACUUUAGGGCACGCGAUGUACAGCGACAGUGUGUGAUCUUUUUAUAUACGCGCUCAAUCAAAAACAGAAUGAGAAAUCUCGCCUGAAAAAAACUGCUCUUUAUUGAAUUAAUUGUCAUCCUUACUUUCUUUUUACUGCACCGAUCGCAUUUUAUUAGACCGCGAACCACAUCUGCAGCAAUAACACCUAUCUGUAUUGACAUGUCGGAGGACCAGUGCAUGAUCCUGCUGGCUUCGUAUGAGGUAGCUAAGCCGCAAAAGGGAGAAGGAGACGUCGGAUGCCGCCAAAAGAUUAUAUUCCAAAGACGGAGGUCAGAAACAGUGAAUGUCAUGGGUCAGAUUCGGGCUGCUGGCUCUUCAAAGGAAAAGAGAAUGCAUUGUAUUUGUAUGGCAUACAAUGGCAGGGCUUCCUGAGAGGGCAGACCCCAUUUACCUAUCCUUUUCCACUGACAUUUUCCCGUUAUUGUUGUGGUUUGCAGGUAACACCAUCCUCGCUGCUGCUUCUGUAAUGAAUGAGUACAGAAUGGGUGUGGACAGUUAUGCUGUUAUUGUUCAUUUGUCAAGCAGGGGCCUGCUAUUCGCAAAGCAGCAUUUCUCGUUUUUCUGUAUGACUUGUUAGAUUUAAUGUGCACCAAUUAGAAUGGACUUUAUCUUUGUUCACUUGCGUUUAGCCCAGACGACCUUAAAUCUGACAAGUGAUCCGGCUAAGCAUGAAAUCCUGCUCAGACCCUAGGACUUCUGGCUACAUAUAAACUGUAUUGCUGUCGAUAUUAAAAUGUUCGGCCCCUGUU